UGGAGGCUAUUAUCGUAAGUGAAAUAACUCAGAAAUUGAAAAUAAAAUAGCAUGUGUUCUCACUUACAAGUGCGAGGUAAACAAUGAGUAUACUUUGGACAUAAAAAUGGAAAUAAUAGACACUGAGGACGUCAAAAAUAGGGAAAGUGUGAGGGUUGAAAACUUAUCUAUUGGGUGCAAUGAUCCCUAUUUGGGUGAUGGGUGUACUUGAAGCCCAAACGUCACCAUUACACAAUAUAUCCAUGGAACAAACCUGUACCCUCUGAAUCUACAAUUAAAAAAAAAAUCUCCUUUCCUGGAUUCUCUUUCUGUCUGUCCAGUGUUAGAGAGGUCCAUGCUCUGUCUUCGUCCCUGCGUGGUCUUCUGGGGUCUCUGGCUGUAAUUAUAACUUCCUAGUUGUUAUCUCUGGCCUUGAUUUCUUCCUUAAGCUCUAAAUGCUUUUUAAAAUUUUUUACUUAAAAAUCUCUUCUUCAAAAUCUAAUAAACAUCCCUUAGUUUAAACAUCUAAAACCAAGGAAGCCCUCCACGUGUACCCACUCACAUACAGUUCCUCCUUCAACUGUCUUUCCCUCAGAAAAUGGCGCCACCAUUCAUCCAGCUCUUCAGGCAUCAACCUCAGCAUUAUCAUCUCACCUGGAAUUCAUCAACUAGCCCUACCGGUGCUACCUUUGAGGAAAAAACAGCAACUCCCAAAACUCUCUAACCCAGAAGGUGAAGUGCAGACCUAGAGAAGGCAGUGCAUUGCUUGAAGCCAUGGAAGUCCCCUGUCCCAUGUCUUGGUCAGAGACCUGUACAAAGUUCACAGAGUUUUUAAGACAUACUGGAGAUUAGAGUUUUCACCCACAAUUGAGAACUGACAACUGAGACCUCAGAAGAGAGGAGCCGCACUAAUGAAUGCCUGUCAGGAAUGAAGAAAAGGCCUGCCAUCUAUAAAUAGGAGAAUGUGAGUCAAAGGUCACUUUAUGCAGACUGUCUUUCAACUUCCACAGAGGAACUAGAAUGGAUUAUUUCCCUAAGUGAGUGAAUCUCUAGGUAUGAAGGAGGCAUGCUAGCUUUGAUCCACCACGGCUCACAGAGGAGGAUCUCAAAUAAAAUAAAGUAUACAGUAUUACUGCAUGGCUUCUCACGACCCCAGGCCCAGUGUGUUUGGAAAUAUUGGAGAGAAGCUGGAGGGUUGUGUCUUCAUGACACAUGUGAGAGCUUGGAGGCCCUCAAGCAUCUGGCUGUCCUCAGGUUUAGUCAGGGGAGGAACAACAGUUUUAAGUGGGUUUCCGUAGGUUCCACAGUAGAAGCCAGGACAGGGUGCAUGUCAUGUGGCUUUCGACAUUCACAGCUAGCCAGCCUCUAGGCCAUCUCUUUUUUGGGUGAGCAGAGUGUGGUUCUGACCCUUCUCGGAAGUUGUUAGGCAUUCCAGGCUCAAGUAACCCACCAGUCUUUUAAAUAUAGAUAGUACAAAUCCAAUAACACUCUUACAUUUCAACAUAGCAUUGGCACCAAAACCCAGACUGCUGUAAUAAAAUCAAGUUACAUCCGCCAGUUCUAUAUUUAUGGACCACAGACUUUAGAAAAUUUAGAGGACAAUCUGGAAAGCAAAGCAAGAACAUUUUAUUUCAAAAUAGGAUUUGCUUGGGAGACUCCAGGUCCCCAAAAGAGAAUUAUCGUGGAGACCCCUUAUCAAGGCAGCCACACAAGCAGAUCUAGAGUAGGUUUAGAGCCAAAAUACACAUUUUCCUGUUGUCAAAUGAUAAAUCUGUAUAAAUCUUAUUUUGUUCAACUAAGAAGUAAAAGCAACAGCCUGGGACUAGACCUCUGAAAUUAUGAUGUUAGAGAGUCUAGUGAUGGGAUGAAGACUUAAUUUCAGUUAUGGCUUCAAUAUGGUUUGUCUCUACCAAAACUCAUGCCGAAAUCUGAUCCCUAAUAUGGUGGUGUUGGGAGGCGGGACCUAAUGUGAAGAGUGUGGGUCAUGGGGAUGGAUCCCUCUUUAAUAACUUGGUGCUGUUCUCACGGUAGUGAGUGAGUUUUUGCUCUGGUGAGCCUGAAGUAGUUUUCUUGAAAAUUGAUUCGUUCCCUGAGAAUGGGUUGUUAUAAAGACAGGGCUCUCCCUGAGUUCUCCUGAGUUCGGGACUCUACCUGAACUAAUCACAUUGGCCCGGGGAAUAAAACCGUCUGGUUUGCUCAGGUCAAAUAUGGUCCACCCCAGAUAGGAUGUUAGACGGAAUCCCAUAGAAACUUCAUUGUCUGUUUUACAAUGGGGUAUGAGUGGAAUGGAUAAUGGGGUGUUUAUUACAGCUAUUGCUAGGCAUAUUACAGCUAUUUUUACUAAAAUAAAAAUGAUUUUUUUCUUC